GGCAGACAGAAACUGCGACAGGGAAGAAGGAGAGCGAGAGUAAACAGCAGGGAGCAAGGGGCAGACUUCUGCAAGGACCGGACCGGAGCUGGGAAGGAAGCGAUUGAAAGGGUUUCAAGAUAUCCUGAGAGCCCUUUGCCUGCCAGGAUGUGACCUUCCUUUCUUAACUGAUUCUAGUUGAUUGAGUUAACUGGGCACAGUCUCAAGAGAUUUGGGGCUACAUUUACAUGUCCACUUUUGUAGAAAUUUGCAAGAUCAAGACAAUUGUUUUCAGUUCCCCCAGAGAAUUGGUUUGCUGCCUGAAUGACAUCAAAAGGCUGAUCUGCCUAUCCAACCACAUUUUCUUUUUCUCCUUUAUAUCGGCGAGACUAUUUCAAACAAAAAUGGAAAUCACAGAUUUCUAUGUUCUAGAACUUCACAAUUCAAUGUAGCAUGCUUUCAAAAAGUGGAGAAAGUGAUUAAUAAAGGCCCUCUUCUGAACAAGUCAACCACAGACCAAUUCCCCCAGAAUUGAAAAGCCGCCACUAUUGUUCCUAUCAGCUCCUCAAUAUAUUAGCCUUAGCUUCUGCCUCAAUAUCAGCCUCUAUCUACCACCUCAAACUGUGUGUGGGCUCAGGCAACCCUACUGGCUCCUUUUAACAUGUUGAAUUAACAUUGCCCAAAGGACAGAUUUACUUGCUCUGUAUUAUAUAUAGGUCCAGGCAAGAGAAAUACCAUUCCCCAAUGAGAAACAAUUCCAACUACACAAUACAGUUAGGCAAAAGAAGCAUAACCAUCUUACAGGAAGCCUGUAGAAAUACUCUGAUUUUCUUAAAAUUUUCACCUUUGUUCCAUCAACACUUAUACCUCUAACCAUAGCCUCCACUGAGACCACAGUGACCUGUCUCAAAUCUUGCAAUACUGGGCAGAAGUGUUCCUGCCAGACAUAACAUCUAUUUCCAUAAACACUCAGGCACUAUUGACAUAACUUCUUCAUGUAAGGUCUGCUCAAACAGUCUAACCUUCAUAAUCCUAUCAACCCUUAAACUUUGUCUUCUCAAUCUACUUGUAGCUCAAGUCAGGUUUCCAGCAAUGGGUUUUGCUACACAGCUCAAGUGGUUUCCACAUCAAGGAGCCCAGGAAACUUCUCUAAGUCUCCUAGACAUUUUACCUAUUCAUGUACAAAAGGCUGGGUCCCCUGCAAUGGAGCCUAGGGGACAUGGGCUUUUUUUGUCAAUAUUUAAUUUGAUUAAUCAUCCUAACUACUGCCCCAAGUUAUUGUUGGUCAGGUUUCUGAGUGUAAUUUUAACCUUCCAUUAAAAAAAUAAAUAAAUAGAUCUUCAAAUUGGUAUAAAUAGAGUGGACGUGUUAGUGGCCCUUUAAUUCUGGGCACCCAAUGGGAGAUCCCUUUAGCCCCCAAAACUUGGAUAGUGCAGUAUUAAAAUCUUAGUGUUAACCCAUCGAUGUUAUCAAUGUUCAUUUUAUUCAUCCU